rnacentral:rRNA from 1 species
CAGUAGCCACGGUAAUACGAAGGGGGCUAGCGUUGCUCGGAAUCACUGGGCGUAAAGGGUGCGUAGGCGGUUCAGCAAGUCCGCUCUGAAAGCCCAGGGCUCAACCCUGGGAUGCGGGUGGAUACUGCUGAGCUCGAGUCCGGAAGAGGCGAGUGGAAUUCCUGGUGUAGCGGUGAAAUGCGCAGAUAUCAGGAGGAACACCAAUGGCGAAGGCAGCUCGCUGGGACGUGACUGACGCUGAGACGCGAAAGCGUGGGGAGCAAACAGGAUUAGAUACCCCCGUAGUCCCUGUCUCUUAUAC